rnacentral:rRNA from 1 species
AGAGAGUAAACAGUACGUGAAACCGCAUAGAGGUAAACGGGUGGCGUCAAGCUGCAAGCUUAGAGGAUUCAGUCGGUCAGGAUGUUGUGUAUGCGCCUGGCGCAUCUAUCAGUCAGAGUGAGAUAUAGUGGUCCGUUGGGUAACAACGGGCCCGGCCGAAAGGCUGGGAUUUGCUUUCCGUGUUGUUGGCGGAGCUUGCCACUUGUCUAUGGACUGUCUGGCCGAUGCAUUUUCUCUAUAGUGAACACCACGACCGGUGGUACUGCCAGUCUGCUGUGGUCAAGUCGGGUUCAGUCGGCAUACGUGUCGGUUGGGCUCGAUCCUAGGCAAUCGGUGCAUGGGUAAACUCGUGCGCCGUUUUGUCAUCGGGUCUGUUUGCUGACGAUUGUAGUAGUUGGCGGAUGGCCUGUUGGACCAUGGUGGUAUGAAUAACUGUGCAGGGCACCGGUGAUUUCGGUCUCUAAUUUGGCCCGCGCACACACUACAAGUGGGUGCGGAGCGUCGUUGCAGUCUGCCUAUGAUUGGGUUUGAUUGUCGUGUUGCCUGCGCAAAGUAGGUCCGGCAUUAGCCUGAUUUCUGAUGGUAUUGCUAGCGGCGUUUCCUGUGCGGGUCGAUGAGGGCCUAAUAGUCAGUGGUGUAGUGGUAGACGAGCUACCCGACCCGUCUUGAAACACGGACCA